rnacentral:rRNA from 1 species
AACGGAUGGAAACAUGCGCUAAUACCCGAUAGGGUCCCAGGGUCAAAGCUGGGAUGAAAGCUUUGGUGCUCAAGGAGGGGCUCGCGGCCCAUCAGCUAGUUGGUGAGGUAACGGCUCACCAAGGCGAAGACGGGUAGGGGGUGUGAGAGCACGGCCCCCCACAAUGGGACUGAGACACGGCCCAUACUCCUACGGGAGGCAGCAGCAGGGAAUAUUGCACAAUGGACGGAAGUCUGAUGCAGCGACGCCGCGUGGAUGAUGAAGGCCUUCGGGUUGUAAAAUCCUUUACGAGGUGACGAGGAAGGACGGUAGCCCCGGAACAAGCGUCGGCUAACUACGUGCCAGCAGCCGCGGUAAGACGUAGGACGCAAGCGUUAUCCGGAUUUACUGGGCGUAAAGCGUCUGUAGGCGGAUGAGUAAGUUGGGCGUGAAAGCUCCGGGCUCAACCCGGAGAGGCCGUUCAAUACUGCUGAUCUAGAGGAGGCCAGAGGGGAGUGGAAUUCCUGGAGUAGCGGUAAAAUGCGCAGAUAUCAGGAAGAACACCAGUGGCGAAGGCGGCUCCCUAGGGCCCACCUGACGCUGAGAGACGACAGCUAGGGGAGCGAACCAGGAUUAGAGACCCUGGUAGUCCUAGCCGUAAACGAUGGAUGCUAGGUGUAGGGCCGUAGAGGCUCUGUGCCGGAUCGAACGCGAUAAGCAUCCCGCCUGGGGAGUACGUCCGCAAGGCUAAAACUCAAACGAAUUGACGGGGACCCGCACAAGCAGCGGAGCGUGUGGUUUAAUUCGAUGCUACACGAAGAACCUUACCUGGGUUUGACAUGGGCGUGGUAGUGAAGCGAAAGCGGAGCGACCCUUCGGGGAGCGUCCACAGGUGCUGCAUGGCUGUCGUCAGCUCGUGCCGUGAGGUGUCGGGUUAAGUCCCGUAACGAGCGCAACCCUUGCCCUUAGUUACAAGUGUCUAAGGGGACUGCCGGCGGGAAGCCGGAGGAAGGUGGGGAUGACGUCAAGUCAGCAUGGCCCUUAUAUCCAGGGCUACACACACGCUACAAUGGCCGGUACAGAGGGCAGCGAAGCCGCGAGGUGGAGCGAAUCCCAGAAAGCCGGUCGUAGUUCGGAUUGCAGGCUGCAACCCGCCUGCAUGAAGCUGGAGUUGCUAGUAACCGCGCGUCAGCCAUAGUGCGGUGAAUACGUUCCCGGGUCUUGUACACACCGCCCGUCACGUCAUGGGAGUCGGUAACGCCUGAAGCCGGUAGCCUGAC